AAGUUGUUCUGAAUACCCUCUGGC
rnacentral:piRNA from 1 species